AACGAACGCUGGCGGCAUGCCUAAUACAUGCAAGUCGAACGAGAUCUUCGGAUCUAGUGGCGCACGGGUGCGUAACGCGUGGGAAUCUGCCCUUGGGUUCGGAAUAACUUCUGGAAACGGAAGCUAAUACCGGAUGAUGACGUAAGUCCAAAGAUUUAUCGCCCAAGGAUGAGCCCGCGUAGGUUUAGGUAGUUGGUGAGGUAAAGGCUCACCAAGCCGACGAUCCUUAGCUGGUCUGAGAGGAUGAUCAGCCACACUGGGACUGAGACACGGCCCAGACUCCUACGGGAGGCAGCAGUAGGGAAUAUUGGACAAUGGGCGAAAGCCUGAUCCAGCAAUGCCGCGUGAGUGAUGAAGGCCUUAGGGUUGUAAAGCUCUUUUACCCGGGAUGAUAAUGACAGUACCGGGAGAAUAAGCUCCGGCUAACUCCGUG
rnacentral:rRNA from 1 species